ensembl:lncRNA
GUCCAUUUUACUGUUUCUGUGUCAAGCCCAUUUCUGGGUGCGAGUCCGUUUGGUAACGCAGAAGCACUUGAACGCUCUCCGCUGGUCUGAGAACUUCCUACUUCCUCAGUGAAUCAUUAUAAUCUGUGCACACGGACAGAAUUCUUGCUCUUGGCGCCAAGAAGCUCUGGGGAGAUUGAUGACCUAUGACGAGACCAGCGGAACACCCGGCGCCAUUCUGCGGGUUCCUGAGAAUCAAAGAGUACCUGCUCUCUGGAGAGGGGCCCUCUGAGGGGGACAGCAAAAGGUCUUGACCCGCCCACCGCGUGAAGCAAUUAUUUUUCUGGACAGCUCCCUGACAUUCCCAAGGAGAGAGAGAAAAUGACAGGCUCUAGUUGGAGUUUAAUCAUCCCGACCCUUCCAUCCUCGGUACCUGCAUCAAGAUGCAACACAAAUCAAAUCUUCAGGAGUCUGGACAUUUUGUUUUUGUGUAACUCAUUAAGCAUUUCCCCAUGUGCUGUGGUUGAUGUUUCUCUCGGCCAGGAAUUUUAUACCACGUGUGCAUGUCCCUAUUUGGCUCGGCAAAGUCAUUCUCAGGAUAUACAAGCUAAUGAUGCCUGUGGUUUUGAAACUUUAUUGUGAUUAUUUGCAUAGGGCAUUUGGAAAAUCUGUAGACAGGUUAUUAAGAGAUGCUGAGCAAUGGAAACAUUAUUAGGCCUUAUUAUUGUUUAUUGUACCCAGAUGUUGCGCAUUUCCAGCAUCCCAGAGGAUUAGGAGUGAUGUCAGAUACCCAACUCUUACUUUUCCUUGCAGAUAUUAAGUCUAAAUUUUCC